UGAGCCUACGGGACGCAGCAGUGGGGGAUAUUGCACAAUGGGGGAAACCCUGAUGCAGCGACGCCGCGUGAGUGAAAAAGUAUUUCGGUAUGUAAAGCUCUAUCGGCAGGGAAGAAGAAAAUGACAGUACCUGACUAAGAAGCCCCGGCUAACUACGUGCCAGCAGCCGCGGUAAUACGUAGGGGGCAAGCGUUAUCCGGAUUUACUGGGUGUAAAGGGAGCGUAGGCGG
rnacentral:rRNA from 1 species